AGCGAGCAGUCGCAGGCUUCACCCAACUCCCACACAAUCUGAAGGGCUGGUCUCACUCCCAUUGUGCCACCCCCAACAGCACUGUCUAUUUCCAGGCAGUGGGUGAGCAGGGCUUAAGAACUUGUCCCAGGCUGCCCGCCUCCCAGCCGUGAGAUAAAAGGGCUCUGGUUCUUCCCCCACCUGUGGAGUCUGCAUGCUAGAUUUACACCCUCCCCUGAGUUCUGGCCAGGAGGCCUCUCACCUGGUUCAAAUUGUUACAACGUUCAGCUGGAGACCUCCUACUCCCUGUGGUUAUCUCCCCGCACCUCUGGCCACCCUCCCGAAAGGAUCCCUGUGGUGCCAGGCAGGAAUGGCCUGCCUGGGGACCCAGCAAGCUCCCAGGGCCCUUCCCACUGCCUCCUCCACCCCUGCAUUUCACUCAGCUCUCUAAGUUGACUCAGCUCCAGAUGAGAAAACUGAGGCACAGACGGUUUCAGAGAAUUGCUUGCAGUCUCAAGGAUGGUGGAAGAGCUGGACGGAGAUAAGCAGUCUGGCUGCACAGUUAAUUCUUAACAGUGUGCUUGAUGACCACCUUGUGAAGAAGUUAUUUGCUUCUCCUUUGUCUUCCGUCAUGAUUGUAAAUUUCCUGAGGCCUCCCUCUAGCCAUGCAGAACCGUGAGGAUACAGUGAGAAGACAGCCGUCUGCAAUCAGGAAGGGGACUCUCACCAGACAACAAGUCUUCCAGCACCUUUAUCUUGGACUUCCAGCCUCCAGAAUUAUGACAAGUUGUGCCUCUUUGAGACAGGCUGUCCCAGUCACACUGGGGGAAACUGAGGCAGAUCAGUGGAUGGAGGAUGAAUAAACUGCAGGCCAGGGAGUGCUUUCUUUCUGAAAGAGUCUUUAAUUAUACAAUUGAUGGUAUUCACCUUCAGUUUUCCAAGACGAUGGAAAGCACCACUGGUGCAUGUAGUUAACAGCAGCUUGACUCAGACACAGAACUGCAGCCAGGGCCCAUCUGUUCCCAUCACUCCUACUGCCAGUUUUACAACCAGAACUAGAGUGAUUUAUCCAUCUCAGUUUGCUCAGGACUCAGCAGAAGAGGAUCCUGGGACACAAGACUUUCAGUGCUCAAACUUGGAGAGUUCAAGACUUUCAGUGCUCAAACUUGGAGAGUCCUUGGCAAUCACAGUUUGACUAUGACUGAGAAGAUUCCCAGAAAGAAGGACUUUUAAUUCUAAAACUGAGAAAGUCCCAGGGCAUGAGUUGUUCACCUUAUUUGCAACCAACUUCUAAUUCAUCAUGAGGGCUUUGCAUAAACUUAUGCUUUAGGACUAGUAGAGUCAGUCAUUGCUUCAAAUUAAGUAGUGUGGCAAAAGUCUGUUAUUUUUCAGGAAAAAUUAAUGUCUGAUUGUGUUAAUCCUGGUUGCAAUAACUUAUCUCAUUUCCCCACUUUCCUGUGGAAAAAUUCCCAAUUUCUCAACCUGGCAUAUUAAGCAGCUGAAAAGUGGCCUAUGCCUUCAUCCCUGUCACUAUCUCCCUCCACUUGCCACCAUGCCCCAGUCUCUCUGAACUUUGUCAUUCUCCUUCAAGACUGGUGAUAUGGCUUGGCUGUGUCCCCACCCAAAUCUCAUCUUGAAUUGUAGCUCCCCUAAUCCACAAGUGUUGUGAGAGGGAUCCAGUGGGAGGUAAUUGAAUCAUGGGGAUGGGAUUUUCCUGUGCUGUUCUCGUGAUAGUGAAUAAGUCUCAUGAGAUCUGAUAGUUUUAUAAAGGGCAGUUCCCCUGCAUACACUGUCUUGCCUGCCACCAUGUAAGAUGUGCCUUUGCUCCUCCUUUGUCUUCUGCCAUGAUUGUGAGGCCUCCCCAGCCAUGUGGAACUGUGAGUCAUUAAACUUCCUUUCCUUUAUAAAUUACCCAGUCUUGGGUAUUUCUUCAUAGCUGUACAAAAACUGGAGACCUGAGAAAAUAGACAUUUUUUCAUCCCAGAUUCUUUCUUUCCCUGUCUCCCUUACUGCUUCCAUCCAUUCAGCAUAGUCAUGUAAGAAAACUCAAGCAUCACUGACUCUGAAUAACUGUUUUCAUCUUCCUCAAGAAGUUAUCUCCCUAUCCUUUAAGCUCAACUAAUGCUUUGUUUAUAUCUUUAAAAUAGAAUUGAUUACGUACUAUAUCAAAUACAUAUGCUUUAUACCUGUCUCCUUUACUAGACUAUUUCUCUAUUUAGUAGACUUACUUCUCAACAGUGAUAACUUAUUUUUCUUUUUAUCUCUAGUGCUUAAUCUCUUGCCUGGUGUACAAUAAAAUUUGUUGUAUGAACAUCUGAGUGGAUACAUUUUUAUACAUUUUAAACAGAUGGGAAAACUGAAGCUUAGAGUGGUUAAAUGAUUUCACCAAGAUCAAUAGCUAGGAAAUGACUGAAACGGGGCUUGAACCAAAGUCUUCCAAAUCUGACACCCAUGCAUUCAUCACCCCCUCAUUUGUAUACAUGGGUUACCAAUAACACAC
rnacentral:lncRNA from 1 species